UCGGGAAUUUUGGGCAAUGGGCGAAAGCCUGACCCAGCAACGCCGCGUGUGUGAAGAAGGCCUGAGGGUUGUAAAGCACUUUAAGUUGGGAGGAAGGGCAGUUACCUAAUACGUAUCUGUUUUGACGUUACCGACAGAAUAAGCACCGGCUAACUCUGUGCCAGCAGCCGCGGUAAUACAGAGGGUGCAAGCGUUAAUCGGAAUUACUGGGCGUAAAGCGCGCGUAGGUGGUUUGUUAAGUUGGAUGUGAAAUCCCCGGGCUCAACCUGGGAACUGCAUUCAAAACUGACAAGCUAGAGUAUGGUAGAGGGUGGUGGAAUUUCCUGUGUAGCGGUGAAAUGCGUAGAUAUAGGAAGGAACACCAGUGGCGAAGGCGACCACCUGGACUGAUACUGACACUGAGGUGCGAAAGCGUGGGGAGCAAACAGGAUUAGAUACCCGUGUAGUCCCUGAGCGGGCUGGCAAGGCGCAU
rnacentral:rRNA from 1 species